CACGUAGGGCGCAAGCGUUGUCCGGAAUUAUUGGGCGUAAAGAGCUCGUAGGCGGUCUGUUGCGUCCGCUGUGAAAACUCGGGGCUUAACCCCGAGCCUGCAGUGGAUACGGGCAGACUAGAGGUAGGUAGGGGAGAAUGGAAUUCCUGGUGUAGCGGUGAAAUGCGCAGAUAUCAGGAGGAACACCGAUGGCGAAGGCAGGUCUCUGGGCCGAUACUGACGCUGAGGAGCGAGAGCGUGGGGAGCGAACAGG
rnacentral:rRNA from 1 species